UAUCUAUGCAGUACGCCCCCUGGUGACACAUUGCUACAUCCGGGUGAUAUACUGAUAGCUCUCUAUCUAAUUGCAUGCGGUUCAUUGGAGAUUGUUACAGUAAAAUAUUGGUAUAGCGAUAUGAGAUGCUGAAGUGUUUCUUCGUUUGACACCAGCUAGACAAAGUGGGCGAUUUCCCUGCUAGCACGGGACCGCAGAUAGGAGAAGAUGAGCCGACCUCUAUGACAUUCUAAAUGCUCUGCAGCAAGCUUCUGGUGACACAAAUACAGCGUCCAAAGACAGAUCAGUGAAAAGAUGGUUAGAUACUGCAGCCACGAGAAUCAGCUAACGUUGCCAACGUUACAGAUAGUGGACCCAGCAUAAAGACGUAUUGCAUCACAGCGUUAUAUUUUACGUUUACGUCACUGACGUCAAUAGGAUUCGGAAACGUGUCACCAAAUACUAAUGGAAUUGACAUGCCGGUAAAGAUGAUAUAUUUGGUGGUGACUGCAGUGACGUGGAAUGCUCGGGAAAAUCGUUCUAUUUUGUACGUGCCCUUAGUUACUGUGAUAUUAACAAGAUAUAGUUACACGUGCUGAAAGAAACAAUGGAUAUAUAACCAGUAUUUUCAAAAAGAAUUAAUGGGUAAAAUACAAGUGGCAUUCAAUCUUAAGCUCGACGAAUGGGACCACAGAUCGGAGAAGAUGAGCCGACGUCUAGAGCAUUCGAAUUUUCUCCGCUAUCAGCAAGUAGUGGUAUAGAUACAGCGUUCAAAGACAGAUCAGUGUAAACAAGACGAACAGUUGACGGAUGUUUCAUUUCUUCAUCAGAUUCCAGCCAGAACGUCAAUGUGUGUUUUCGGUGUAUCUAUAGGGUCAUUCUUAGAAACAUCAGACAGUUGAGCGCCCUCUGGUAGUCGGCGCAUUUCCAGCUUUGAGCGCCCUCUGAUAGUCGGCGCAUUUCCGGGAAGCUGGUGAUACAGCGCAAUCUGGAAAAAAAUGAGACAGACGUCGCUUUCUUGCAUACCAGACGGGGAUUUCCGGUAUUUUUACCGGUGCUGGAAAAAUCCAUCUUACACCCCGGGGUGUAAGAUGACUCUCGUGCUUUAAAUGACGUAUUACAAACUACAUAUAUGUAGAAGAUUUAUGUAGUAAUUUAUAUUUUAUUUCAAUAACGGAAUAAAAACACAAUACCUUGACAGUUCCUCUUUGUUCCUGAUAGUAUAUUUCUCGAUUCAAAACACGUUAUUUUAUCAAAUAUUCAUAACGUUACGCUGCAACUGAUAAAACAAAACCGGAACUAAACAUUGUUAGUUGUCUUUGAAACGUCAUGACGUCUUUCCUGUUUACGGACGUUGCUUUCCCGCGCUUUGUUUAAAUUCGCUGCUAUAAGAAAUAGUUCUAAAAAAGAAAGUCGUUCGAUUGAUUUUAUUUUUAUUAUUAUUUCUUGAAAUCGGUAUGCAAGAAAAAGAUUCUGUCACUAGUUAUAGGUGCAGAUGGAAAUAUCCGGCUCUCGGGUAACUGAUUAGGCGGUAACUCGGCAGGUAGCCUCGUUACCGCCUAAACAGUUACCCUCGAGGCCGGAUAUUCCCAUCUGCACCUACAACCAGUGAAAGAAUCUUAUAGUCUAACCUCGAGGAAAUCAACUGCAAGUGAAACUAUUUAGCAAAGUAUACGAAUAUAACAUGGAUUUUUAAGAUCU